GGGGAAUAUUGGACAAUGGGCGGAAGCCUGAUCCAGCCAUGCCGCGUGUGUGAAGAAGGUCUUCGGAUUGUAAAGCACUUUAAUUUGGGAGGAAGGGCAGUUAACGAAUACUUAACUGUUUUGACGUUACCAAAAGAAUAAGCACCGGCUAACUUCGUGCCAGCAGCCGCGGUAAUACGAAGGGUGCAAGCGUUAAUCGGAAUUACUGGGCGUAAAGCGCGCGUAGGUGGUUCGUUAAGUUGGAAGUGAAAGCCCCGGGCUCAACCUGGGAAUUGCUUUCAAAACUGGCGAGCUAGAGUACGGUAGAGGGUGGUGGAAUUUCCUGUGUAGCGGUGAAAUGCGUAGAUAUAGGAAGGAACAUCAGUGGCGAAGGCGACCACCUGGACUGAUACUGACACUGAGGUGCGAAAGCGUGGGGAGCAAAC
rnacentral:rRNA from 1 species